CCUUAAGCUUUAUAUGACUAUACUUUCAUUUCCUUGUUUCGGCAAGGGCUUUUAAAAAGUCGCUAACUUACAAGGAUAGCUGAUAAAGCAAACGAUCUUUGAAAACUAAGCAAAUUGAUAGAAGUUCUUUUUAAAGGGAUAUUCUAAAACAAAUAAGUAAUGAUUAUCAAAUAGAGUGAGAGUUUUUAUAACUUCCAUUCUUUGAUAAGGAAUGCUUAUCCAACCUGCCAAUUGAUUUCA
rnacentral:rRNA from 1 species